rnacentral:rRNA from 1 species
AACAGCUCAAAUUUGAAAUCUGGCUCCUGUGGAGUCCGAGUUGUAAUUCGUAGAAGAUGCUUUGGGUUAUGGGUUCGGCCUAAGUUCCUUGGAACAGGACGUCAUAGAGGGUGAGAAUCCCGUAUGUGGCCGAGGCGCGCGCCUGUGUAAAGCUCUUUCAACGAUCUCGAGUUGUUUGGGAAUGCAGCUCAAAAUAGGUGGUAAAUAUCAUCUAAAGCUAAAUAUGGGCCAGAGACCGAUAGCGCACAAGUAGAGUGAUCGAAAGAUGAAAAGCACUAUGGAAAGAGAGUUAAACUGUACGUGAAAUUGUUGAAAGGUAGCGCUUGCACCCAGACUUUCGCCCUGCUGAUCACCUUGCGUUCUCCGCGAGUGCACUCGACAGCGCACAGGCCAGCAUCGGUUCGGGUGGCUGGAUAAAGGCCGUAGGAACGUAGCUCUCUUCGGGGAGUGUUAUGGCUACGGUGCCAUGCAGCCCAACCGGACCGAGGACCGCGCCAUCGGGCUAGGAUGCUGGCGUAAUGGGUGUAAGCGACCCG